rnacentral:rRNA from 1 species
UNUGAACUGGGUGACUAGAGUGUGUCAGAGGGAGGUAGAAUUNCACGUGUAGCAGUGAAAUGCGUAGAGAUGUGGAGGAAUACCGAUGGCGAAGGCAGCCUCCUGGGAUAACACUGACGUUCAUGCCCGAAAGCGUGGGUAGCAAACAGGAUUAGAUACCCUGGUAGUCCACGCCCUAAACGAUGUCGAUUAGCUGUUGGGCAGCAUGACUGCUUAGUAGCGAAGCUAACGCGUGAAAUCGACCGCCUGGGGAGUACGGUCGCAAGAUUAAAACUCAAAGGAAUUGACGGGGACCCGCACAAGCGGUGGAUGAUGUGGAUUAAUUCGAUGCAACGCGAAGAACCUUACCUGGUCUUGACAUGUACGGAACCCUCCAGAGACGGAGGGGUGCCUUCGGGAGCCGUAACACAGGUGCUGCAUGGCUGUCGUCAGCUCGUGUCGUGAGAUGUUGGGUUAAGUCCCGCAACGAGCGCAACCCUUGUCAUUAGUUGCCAUCAUUAAGUUGGGCACUCUAAUGAGACUGCCGGUGACAAGCCGGAGGAAGGUGGGGAUGACGUCAAGUCCUCAUGGCCCUUAUGACCAGGGCUUCACACGUCAUACAAUGGUCGGUACAGAGGGUAGCCAAGCCGCGAGGUGGAGCCAAUCUCACAAAACCGAUCGUAGUCCGGAUUGCACUCUGCAACUCGAGUGCAUGAAGUCGGAAUCGCUAGUAAUCGCAGGUCAGCAUACUGCGGUGAAUACGUUCCCGGGUCUUGUACACACCGCCCGUCACACCAUGGGAGUGGGGGAUACCAGAAGUAGG